UCUGCGGUGAUGAGGCUUUAACAUGUAAGACAAACCAUCUUUGUGAUGGUUUGUCAGUGAGAUAUUCUUGUUACGCUUGGCUUCUGAGUAUA